rnacentral:tRNA from 1 species
AGGGGUAUGCAUUGUAACGGUAGCAUGCCGGUCUCCAAAACCGUGCGGUCUGGGUUCGAAUCCUAGUACCCCUGCCA